CGCGGGGUAGAGGAAUUGGUUAACUCAUUAGGCUCAUGACCUAAAGAUUACAGGUUCGAGUCCUGUCCCCGCACA
rnacentral:tRNA from 1 species